rnacentral:tRNA from 1 species
GUCCCUGUAGCGCAAUGGAUAGCGCGUUGGACUUCUAAUCCAAACGUCGUGGGUUAGAAUCCCACCUGGGAUG